GUAGGGAUGAGGGACCUCCCUCCUCCUCUGCUCAUGCUCAUGAGAACCUCAACCCGGCAAACCUCCCAGGCCAGCCCUGGCUCCACCAUGGGCCCCAGGCUCCUCUGCUGUGUGACCCUCUGUCUCUUGGGGGCAGGUGGUCACGCAGAACCCGGAGUCUCCCAAUCCCCCAGGCACAGGGUCACGAAGAGGGGCCAGGAUGUAUCUUUCACCUGUGAUCCCAUUUCUGGGCAUGUUGGUCUUUACUGGUACCGACAGACCGUGGGGCAGGGCCCGGAGUUUCUGGUUUACUUCCAAAACGAAGAGGCAGUGGACGAGUCAGGGCUGGACAAGACUCGGUUCUCUGCCAAGAGGCCCGAGGGGACCAGCUCCACUCUGCAGAUCCAGCGUGCAGAGCAGAGGGACUCGGCUGUGUACCUCUGUGCCAGCAGUCUCACCACAGUGGGGCACAGUCACCUCCUUCCUCUUUACAAACCUCAUCCUCCCCUCUCCUUGCUGUGGCUGGCGCCCCUAAACAGGCUCUCUAGUCCCCAGUGGGAAGAAGUGGGACAUCAGCUGUCCUGUGGGUAGAAAGAGACACAAGAUAAACUCGCUCAAUGAAAAUAAAUGUCGGUGGAUGAAACCCUUCUGGCUCCUUGGGUUCCAGGAGUCCCAGAGGCAGUUCAGGCAUAUUUUUCCCGUCCCUCUGUCCUUUCGGCCAUGUAGCAGCAAGCCUGUCUUGCUGUUUGAAGUUCAGGCCUUUACUACAUUGGUGGUGGUGAGGGGAC